rnacentral:lncRNA from 1 species
UGAAAAGUCCUCGACCAUUUGCCCUUGGCUCCAACCAAUUUUCCGUCACUCGGACCAUCUCGUACCUUGAAGAUGCAAUACAAAAUCAUAAGUUGAAGCGGGCUGACAGAUAAUCUAGAACUACGCCUCCUUUGAGCGGCCCGGACAAGCCUUUAGGGUUACCACUCCAUCGAGGCUUAAACGAGGAUGACGCGGAGGUGUUGCCCAUUGAGGGGUGUUGGUGACAAGGAGUCGCUGAACGAAACGCUAAACCAAAUGAAAAAAAAUAUUAAAAAAGCCAACGAUCCUUUAUAUAUCCGAGCCACAACCAGGCAGAGUCCUUUCCGUCUACAUUCGGUGUGAAGAGCAAAACGCGAAUUUCAACACAUUUUACUGCUUAGCAACCAUCAAACGACACGCGAUAGGUUCCGGCGGUCAUCAACUAUUCAAAAUGGUAUACCUGUCAAUGUAAAAGACAGGCUAAAGACCCAACCCCAACAAUGUCAACCUGAAGAAAGAAAAAGGCCUAUUUCCAUGUCGUUCACGUUUGAAGGUCACGAGAAACAUUACGUAAAACUGGCAUGCGGUGGUGAAGAGGUUGGGUGAGAAUGAUACGUGUUGCUUCAUCAUCAAGCAGGUAGAAUAGCCACAAGGAUAAGCUAUUUGGUAUUC